rnacentral:rRNA from 1 species
GAUGAACGCUGGCGGCGUGCUUAACACAUGCAAGUCGAACGGAAAGGCCCAAGCUUGCUUGGGUGCUCGAGUGGCGAACGGGUGAGUAACACGUGGGUGAUCUGCCCUGCACUUCGGGAUAAGCCUGGGAAACUGGGUCUAAUACCGGAUAGGACGAUGUUUUGGAUGGCAGGGUGGAGAGUUUUUUCGGUGUGGGGGGAGCUCGCGGCCUGUCAGCGUGUGGGUGGGGGAUUGGCGUAGCAAGGCGUCGACGGGUAGCCGGCAUGAGAGGGUGUACGGCCACAUUGGGAGACUGAGACAGGCCAGAGUCUUACAGGGGGGACAAGGGGGGAAAAUUGUACACUGGGGGCAAGCGUGAGGCACCGACGCCGCGUGGGGGAUGACGGCCUUUGGGUGGUAAAAACCGCUCUCGACUGACACGGCGUGUGUGUGACGGUACCUGGAGAAGAAGCACCGGCUAACUACGUG